rnacentral:rRNA from 1 species
CAGGCCUAACACAUGCAAGUCGAGCGAGAAAGCACUUCGGUGCGAGUACAGCGGCGCACGGGUGAGUAACGCGUGGGUAUCUGCCUAUUAGUGGGGGACAACUUGGAGAAAUCCAAGCUAAUACCGCAUAAUCUCUACGGAGGAAAGCGGGGGAUCUUCGGACCUCGCGCUGAUAGAUGGGCCCGCGUCCGAUUAGCUAGUUGGUGGGGUAAGAGCCCACCAAGGCGAUGAUCAGUAACUGGUUUGAGAGGAUGAUCAGUCACACUGGAACUGAGACACGGUCCAGACUCCUACGGGAGGCAGCAGUGGGGAAUAUUGCACAAUGGGCGCAAGCCUGAUGCAGCGACGCCGCGUGCGGGAAGAAGGCCUUAGGGUUGUAAACCGCUUUCAGAUGGGAAGAGGGGAUGAGAGUUAAUAACUCUCUGACUUGACGGUACCAUCAGAAGAAGCACCGGCUAACUCCGUGCCAGCAGCCGCGGUAAUACGGAGGGUGCGAGCGUUAAUCGGAAUUACUGGGCGUAAAGCGCGCGUAGGCGGUUAGUUAAGUCGGAUGUGAAAGCCCCGGGCUCAACCUGGGAACUGCAUUCGAUACUGGCCCACUAGAGUGCGAGAGAGGGAGGUAGAAUUCCACGUGUAGCGGUGAAAUGCGUAGAUAUGUGGAGGAAUACCGGUGGCGAAGGCGGCCUCCUGGCUCGACACUGACGCUG